GAUGAACGCUGGCGGCGUGCCUAAUACAUGCAAGUCGAGCGAACAGACGAGGAGCUUGCUCCUCUGACGUUAGCGGCGGACGGGUGGGUAACACGUGGAUAACCUACCUAUAAGACUGGGAUAACUUCGGGAAACCGGAGCUAAUACCGGAUAAUAUAUUGAACCGCAUGGUUCAAUAGUGAAAGACGGUUUUGCUGUCACUUAUAGAUGGAUCCGCGCCGCAUUAGCUAGUUGGUAAGGUAACGGCUUACCAAGGCGACGAUGCGUAGCCGACCUGAGAGGGUGAUCGGCCACACUGGAACUGAGACACGGUCCAGACUCCUACGGGAGGCAGCAGUAGGGAAUCUUCCGCAAUGGGCGAAAGCCUGACGGAGCAACGCCGCGUGAGUGAUGAAGGUCUUCGGAUCGUAAAACUCUGUUAUUAGGGAAGAACAAAUGUGUAAGUAACUAUGAACGUCUUGACGGUACCUAAUCAGAAAGCCACGGCUAACUACGUG
rnacentral:rRNA from 1 species